GGAUCUGUAGCUCAGUGGUAGAGUGCCUGCCUUGCACGCAUGAGGUACUGGGUUUGAUCCUCAGCACCA
rnacentral:tRNA from 1 species